UUGACGGGGGCCCGGCACAAGCGGUGGAGUAUGUGGUUUAAUUCGAUGCAACGCGAAGAACCUUACCUGGUCUUGACAUCCCGGAGACCCUUAGGAAACUAGGGGGUGCUUCCAUCUGGAAGAAUCUGGAGACAGGUGCUGCAUGGCUGUCGUCAGCUCGUGUCGUGAGAUGUUGGGUUAAGUCCCGCAACGAGCGCAACCCUUGCCUUUAGUUGCCAGCAGUUCGGCUGGGCACUCUAAAGGGACUGCCGGUGUUAAACCGGAGGAAGGUGGGGAUGACGUCAAGUCCUCAUGGCCUUUAUGACCAGGGCUACACACGUACUACAAUGGCCGAUACAAAGGGCAGCGACACUGCGAGGUGAAGCCAAUCCCGUAAAAUCGGUCUCAGUCCGGAUUGGAGUCUGCAACUCGACUCCAUGAAGUUGGAAUCGCUAGUAAUCGUGGAUCAGCAUGCCACGGUGAAUACGUUCCCGGGCCUU
rnacentral:rRNA from 1 species